rnacentral:rRNA from 1 species
GACGAACGCUGGCGGCGUGCCUAAUACAUGCAAGUUGAGCGAUGACGCUUGGUGCUUGCACCCAUUUGAAGAGCAGCGAACGGGUGAGUAACGCGUGGGGAAUCUGCCUUUGAGCGGGGGACAACAUUUGGAAACGAAUGCUAAUACCGCAUAACAACUUUAAACAUAAGUUUUAAGUUUGAAAGAUGCAAUUGCAUCACUCAAAGAUGAUCCCGCGUUGUAUUAGCUAGUUGGUGAGGUAAAGGCUCACCAAGGCGAUGAUACAUAGCCGACCUGAGUGGGUGAUCGGCCACAUUGGGACUGAGACACGGCCCAAACUCCUACGGGAGGCAGCAGGAGGGAAUCAUCGGAAAUGGACGAAAGUCUGACCGAGCAACGCCGCGGGAGGGAAGAAGGGUGUCGGAUCGGAAAACUCUGUUGGUAGAGAAGGACGUUGGUGAGGGUGGAAAGCUCAUCAAGUGACGGUAACUACCCAGAAAGGGACGGCUAACUACGUG